rnacentral:tRNA from 1 species
GCCCGCCGGAGAUCCGGCGGGCCCCGUCGCGUUCGCGGUACGGCGAUCCUGUCGGUGGGUGGGUGCAGGAUCGAGGCGUGCGGUGGGCG